rnacentral:rRNA from 1 species
GACGAGCUCUCCAAACGUUAUUCGGAAUCACUGGGCUUAAAGAGUUCGUAGGCGGUUUGGUAGGUGAGGUGUGAAAUCCCCCGGCUCAACCGGGGAACUGCGCUUCAAACCGCCGGACUUGAGGGAGACAGAGGUGGGCGGAACAGAUGGUGGAGCGGUGAAAUGCGUUGAUAUCCUCUGGAACACCGGUGGCGAAAGCGGCCCACUGGGUCUCAUCUGACGCUGAGGAACGAAAGCUAGGGUAGCGAACGGG